rnacentral:rRNA from 1 species
GGGAUGAGUCCCGCCGUAACAAUGAAGACUUUAGAGUUUUUGAAUAGGCUCAGAACGAACGCUGGCGGCAGGCUUAACACAUGCAAGUCGAGCGCGUGGCAACACGAGCGGCAGACGGGUGAGUAACGCGUGGGAAUCUACCCUUUUCUACGGAAUAACGCAGGGAAACUUGUGCUAAUACCGUAUACGCCCUUCGGGGGAAAGAUUUAUCGGAGAAGGAUGAGCCCGCGUUGGAUUAGCUAGUUGGUGGGGUAAAGGCCUACCAAGGCGACGAUCCAUAGCUGGUCUGAGAGGAUGAUCAGCCACAUUGGGACUGAGACACGGCCCAAACUCCUACGGGAGGCAGCAGUGGGGAAUAUUGGACAAUGGGCGCAAGCCUGAUCCAGCCAUGCCGCGUGAGUGAUGAAGGCCCUAGGGUUGUAAAGCUCUUUCACCGGUGAAGAUAAUGACGGUAACCGGAGAAGAAGCCCCGGCUAACUUCGUGCCAGCAGCCGCGGUAAUACGAAGGGGGCUAGCGUUGUUCGGAAUUACUGGGCGUAAAGCGCACGUAGGCGGACAUUUAAGUCAGGGGUGAAAUCCCGGGGCUCAACCCCGGAACUGCCUUUGAUACUGGGUGUCUAGAGUCCGGAAGAGGUGAGUGGAAUUCCGAGUGUAGAGGUGAAAUUCGUAGAUAUUCGGAGGAACACCAGUGGCGAAGGCGGCUCACUGGUCCGGAACUGACGCUGAUGUCGAAAAAAGCCC